rnacentral:rRNA from 1 species
UCACGCAUCGCGUCUCCCCCAAAUCCACCCAGAGUGGAGGGGAAGGAGGAUGGUCUCCCGCGACUCACCGGUUGCGGCUGGCCUAAAAUUGGAGCCCUCAGCAUCGGGAUGCUGUGGCGAUAGGUGGUGAACAAGGCCUCGGCCAAGCAAGCAACCCGCCGCGGGUGGUGAUGCCAACGUGAGCUCGAAGGACCCUUUUAGUUGCCUAACGGCAACCUAACCGUUGCGAC